GGCUUAGAGUUUGAUCAUGGCUCAGGACGAACGCUGGCGGCGCGCCUAACACAUGCAAGUCGAACGGAGUUAUUCCGAAUGAAGUUUUCGGAUGGAUUUUGGAAUGACUUAGUGGCGAACGGGUGAGUAACGCGUGAGUAACCUGCCCUGGAGUGGGGGACAACAGUUGGAAACGACUGCUAAUACCGCAUAAGCCCACGGCCCGGCAUCGGGCUGAGGGAAAAGGAUUUAUUCGCUUCAGGAUGGACUCGCGUCCAAUUAGCUAGUUGGUGAGGUAACGGCCCACCAAGGCGACGAUUGGUAGCCGGACUGAGAGGUUGAACGGCCACAUUGGAACUGAGACACGGCCCAGACUCCUACGGGAGGCAGCAGUGGGGGAUAUUGCACAAUGGGGGAAACCCUGAUGCAGCGACGCCGCGUGGAGGAAGAAGGUUUUCGGAUUGUAAACUCCUGUCGUUAGGGACGAAUCAUGACGGUACCUAACAAGAAAGCACCGGCUAACUACGUGCCAGCAGCCGCGGUAAAACGUAGGGUGCAAGCGUUGUCCGGAAUUACUGGGUGUAAAGGGAGCGCAGGCGGACCGGCAAGUUGGAAGUGAAAUCUAUGGGCUCAACCCAUAAAUUGCUUUCAAAACUGCUGGCCUUGAGUAGUGCAGAGGUAGGUGGAAUUCCCGGUGUAGCGGUGGAAUGCGUAGAUAUCGGGAGGAACACAGUGGCGAAAGCGACCUACUGGGCACCAACUGACGCUGAGCUCGAAAGCAUGGGUAGCAAACAGGAUUAGAUACCCUGGUAGUCCAUGCCGUAAACGAUGAUUACUAGUGUUGGAGAUUGACCCCUUCAGUGCCGCAGUACACAUAAGUAAUCCACCU
rnacentral:rRNA from 1 species